AUCUCAACAAUAGAAAGACGUUUUGACAUAAGUAGAGAGCACAAAGAUGCCAGACUGAUCAUCACAUUCAUCAAAAUUUCAGCGAUGCAUACCCCUUUACCCAACUACAAAAUUCUCAUCCGCGAAAACACCAUCGGCAUUCUGGCCAAGCACAUCUUUCGAUUCUCGAACAGCUUGCACAAUGUUGGCAGCCAUCAGAAACAUGUUGGCCAGGCCCCAGUUCUUGAGACAUGGAGCUAUCAGCGGAGGGACUUUGGAAAAGGAAUCGAUGAACCAUUCCAGAAAUUUCAGUAAAGACAACUGCAGAGUUAUCGGUUCCGAAGACUGUCCCAUAAAAAGUCCACCACCCGACAGAACAAAAACAGGAAAAGAAUCGAUACCGUGUGUUCCAGAUUGCAGGGGAGGUAUUCCCAAUUUGCCAGCCAGAGCUUGUUUGCCUUGGGAGAAAAUAAGCGAAGCAUGUCCAAAUCAGCCACCACCAAGAAUUAUUCAGUCUCGAUGUUGCGAACACAUCUGCGAACCAUACGUAGGACAGGGAAUUGUCGAUAGACUGAAGAUGUCCGUCUGCGAAUACAGGAGGUUUCAAAAGUGUUUUAUGAAGCACGGUAAUGCGGAAAAGUGUAUGGGUCACAAGCUUACAUUCGAAUUCGCCAACAAGAUAUAUCCUAUGGCGCACGCGGUCAACAAAAGAUACCUGCCCGGCAGUCCAAGCACCACAGAGCGAUUUAUGAUACCUGAGCCGAACAAUGACUGUGACACCUGAUUGUUUAAUUGUUUCUAUGGAGGUAUUUCAGUAAAAUCAAAUUUUGAAAACAUGUGACAGUUUUAUUUCCGAUCAUUUCAUCUUUCAUUCCAUUUCAAAAUUCGCUGUAAAUUAUAAGAAAAAAAUGCUUAAACGUUUACAAAGACGGUAUUUUUCGAGCUUUAUCAACAAGAAUUGGUAUGGCGGAUGCGAAGAAUGUCCCGAAAAAGAAAGCACAAAAUACGUAGUUCAGAAAUCUUGUGGACCGUCAAUUUUCGAAGUUUGGAAACCCAAAAUACCGGAACUGACUUGCAACGUGUCAAAGAACAAAGCGCUGGCCCCACCCAACUUCUCAAAAACAUGUUUCGCCGGCAUGCAAACCUCCAAACCCGACAGAUGCGUAUCGGAUGCGCUAGCGCGCGAAUGUCAAAAAAGAAACCAUCCGAAAUGGUUGGCCAGAUGUCCUCCUAUGUCAAAAUACGAGAUACAACUUAAGGGUGAACUACCUCCCCUAAUAGAAGGAAAAGCUAAAUGUAAAGCAUCAAAAGGAAAAGCAGAAGUGAAAAAAGCAUCGGCGAAGUCUAUGAGAAAAAGUUGUAUAGGGAAAAUACCCGCACCUGACUGGAAUCCUAACGGAGUUUUAUAUUAAUAUGAAUGAAUAAAAAUAUCUAAAA